rnacentral:rRNA from 1 species
CCUACGGGGAGCAGCAGUGAGGAAUAUUGGUCAAUGGCCGGGAGACUGAACCAGCCAAGCCGCGUGAGGGAUGAAGGUACAGAGUAUCGUAAACCUCUUUUGUCAGGGAACAAAGGCGGGGACGUGUCCCCGGAUGAGUGUACCUGAAGAAAAAGCAUCGGCUAACUCCGUGCCAGCAGCCGCGGUAAUACGGAGGCUGCGAGCGUUAUCCGGAUUUAUUGGGUUUAAAGGGUGCGCAGGCGGUCUGUUAAGUCAGCGGUAAAAGCCCGGGGCUCAACCCCGGCCCGCCGUUGAAACUGGCAGUCUCGAGUUGGAGAGAAGUAUGCGGAAUGCGCGGUGUAGCGGUGAAAUGCAUAGAUAUCGCGCAGAACUCCGAUUGCGAAGGCAGCAUGCCGGCUCCACACUGACGCUGAGGCACGAAAGCGUGGGUAUCGAACAGGAUUAGAUACCCGAGUAGUC